GGCGUACGGGUGAGUAACACGUGGAUAAUCUACCUUCUAGUGGGGAAUACCGUUGGGAAACCGACGACAAUACCGCAUAAGCUCGAGAGAGGAAAGCAGCAAUGCGCUGGAAGAGGAGUCCGCGGUCGAUUAGUUAGUUGGCAGGGUAAAGGCCUACCAAGACUGUGAUCGAUAGCCGGCCUGAGAGGGCACACGGCCACACUGGCACUGAAACACGGGCCAGACUCCUACGGGAGGCAGCAGUGGGGAAUAUUGCACAAUGGGGGAAACCCUGAUGCAGCGACGCCGCGUGAGCGAUGAAGCCCUUCGGGGUGUAAAGCUCUUUCGGCAGGGACGAUUAUGACGGUACCUGCAGAAGCAGCUGCGGCUAACUACGUGCCAGCAGCCGCGGUAAUACGUAGGCAGCAAGCGUUGUUCGGAAUUACUGGGCGUAAAGGGUGCGUAGGCGGCUUUUUAAGUUUGGUGUGAAAUCUCCCGGCUCAACUGGGAGGGUGCGCCGAAUACUGAGAAGCUAGAGUGUGGGAGAGGAAAGUGGAAUUCCUGGUGUAGCGGUGAAAUGCGUAGAUAUCAGGAGGAACACCGGUGGUGUAAACGGCUUUCUGGACCAUAACUGACGCUGAGGCACGAAAGCGUGGGUAGC
rnacentral:rRNA from 1 species